rnacentral:misc_RNA from 1 species
AAAUGCGAUAAGUAAUGUGAAUUGCAGAAUUCAGUGAAUCAUCGAAUCUUUGAACGCACCUCGCGCUCCUUGGUAUUCCUUGGAGCAUGCCUGUUUGAGUAUCAUGAAAUCUUCAAAGUAAAUCUUUUGUUAACUCAAUUGGUUUCUACUUUGGUAUUGGAGGUCUUUGCAGCUUCACACCUGCUCCUCUUUGUUCAUUAGCUGGAUCUCAGUGUUAUGCUUGGUUCCACUCGGCGUGAUAAGUUAUCUAUCGCUGAGGACACUGUAAAAGGUGGCCAAGGUAAAUGCAGAUGAACCGCUUCUAAUAGUCCAUUGACUUGGACAAUACUUUUAUGAUCUGAUCUCAAAUCAGGUAGGACUACCCGCUGAACUUAAGC